CCCUUAGAUGUUCUGGGCUGCACGCGCGCUACACUGAUGCGUUCAACAAGUUGGACCUCGUCCGAGAGGAAAUCGGGGGAAUCUUUUGAAAACGUAUCGUGAUGGGGAUAGAUUAUUGUAAUUAUUAAUCUUCAACGAGGAAUUCCUAGUAAGCAUGAAUCAUCAGCUCGUGCUGAUUACGUCCCUGCCCUUUGUACACACCGCCCGUCGCUCCUACCGAUUGAGUGGUCCGGUGAGGCUUUGGGAUCUGAGCGGAAAGAGCGUUUCGCUGUUUCUGCUCGGAAAACUCAGUCGAACCUUAUCAUUUAGAGGAAGGAGAAGUCGUAACA
rnacentral:rRNA from 1 species